ACACUGUGUAUUGGAUCCAAGGCUUAGGCAUUGGGGGUUAAGUGACUUGCCCAGGGUCACACAACUAGGAAGUGUUUUGAGAUCACAUUUGAACUUAGGACCUCUUGUCUCUUGGCCUGGCUCUCUAUCCAUUGUACUACCAACCUGCCCUAAAUAAAUACAUUUAAAAAAUUAAAGAGGAAAAUAAUAUCACCCAUUCAUGAGGGUUAUUAAAUGAGAUGUUUAUAGAGUUUCAAAACAUAAAACACCAAGUAUUAGCUAUUAUUAAUAAUAAUAAUAGCUAUUCUUUAUAAAACAAUAAUAAUUGUUGGCAUUCGUAGUCCUUUAGAGUUUUCAAAGUGCUUAGUACAUAUCUAAUUUCAUUUUCACAACAACCCUCGGAGGUUAUCAUCCAUAUUUUAUAAACUGAGGCAGACAGAGGUGCGGAGAUUAACCAUAGUGUACGCGAAAACAUGGCUAAAGAUCACACAGGGUGAAUAGGUUUGGAAGUCACACCCUCUGGGUCCUACAGGAAACACAGUGGAUCUUUCCCUACAUACUACGUAUUUCUCCAGCACUUCCCCGAAAGGGAAGUAGACACACGCCCUAGAAAAAGAGCAUCCUCCUCUCGCCAGCGACGCGUCUUUCCGGACUACAUCUCCCAUAGCCCUUUGCCAGCAUCGCGACAGUUCAGCCUCGAGACAGGCGGCAAAGACAUACGAGAUCUCGAGAAGAGUACAUCCUUUCGGUUUCCGGCCCUUUUCUGAGCGGGGUGGCACAACGAUGGCUCCUUCCUCGUGGCUUACCAGAGCGAGGAGAUCUAGGCGGUGGGUCAUGGCUUCAUUUGCUUUGGGAAAGCGGAGGCUGAGUUGAUGUUAGAAGAGAAUGGCCUUUGAAACUGAGAAAUGGAAGAGCUGAAAACGGUGCUGUCUGUUUUUGGACCUUGGAAAAAGGCUUUCAUUUCUUGGAAAUGUUUUAAGAUUGUGAUCUUCCAACUUCCACCUUAACAGAGGUGCAGUCUGCCUGAGCUGAUAAGGAACAGAAACAUGUGGUUUGAGGAUCCUUUUUACUCCUGUAGUUGGAAGACUAGAAUAUCACUGAUAGUAGAAGCAUAUUUAUACUAGAAGAGAAGUAGAAAACUUGUUUCUACCCUAAAGCAGGUGUUAUCUACUACUGAAGCUGUGUGUGACCAACAAUCAUUAGAUUUCUAUAUUCUAUGCAAGUUGUCUUUACAUUUUUUAAAAAUAAAAUGAUUUGAAAACUGUCACAGGCAAGAUCCAGCCUCACUCGCGACUCCAGGGGUUCCUGACAGGUGGUGAACGAUCAGUCAAUAAAUAACACGGGAAACAGCUGUAUCUUUAUGGGAAUGCUUUGCAUCUGAUAGCUGCUCUGUCAUCCCCAGGCUUGAUGUUUACUUUUAUAUCCAUUUUCUUGGCACACAGAUACAUUACCUAACACACAUGUCUAAAUUGAGAUAAUUGGAGAAGUAAUACAUUAACUUUUAACAAAUCACUUGAUUAACAUUCUAUAUUCUUGUAUUGUGAUUGCAGAUUCUUGACAGAAUAAAGGUUUCACUCGAGGAAUCAUUUCAUCACAGGUGGCUUAGUUUUCUCAUUACCCUGUGAGUUUUUGAACUUACAAUCAAGGAAAUUUACUUAUUAGAAGUAAUCAGAAGUUCUUAAAGACAAAUCAACAAUCAUACCAUUGAAGUUGAGAGGUACUGGGAACACAAUUCAAAUUUAAUAGUCAUUUUUCAGAGUUUACUAGGGAGUUUCUGAGUUACUGGUUUGUGAAGUCACUGAGGCAUGUUGAAGCUUAGUGUACAUAUUGUAUGGGCCUUUGUGAUUGAUUUGUAUGCUGCCUUCAUGAGAAUAGGUUUCUGUGAGUGCUGAAGUUCUGGACUUGGCCUGUAGCUGCGGUUUUACUGAACAUUAUGUGUCCAAGUAAAAGUUAACCCAGGAUAGUCUUUUGGGGUUGGGUUUAUGGGUCUGAUGUUUUGGGGAUUUAGGGUACAGGUAUUUUGCUCUUGGCAUUAUUCCUUAUGAGACUAGGGGGAAUAGUAAUCAUGUCAAUUCCUUAGGUAAGGGAUGUUAAUGAGAGAGGUCAUGCUAGGGGGACUGAGUGGGCAAUUGCCUUUCCAAGGUCCACUCUGUGGCCUCCUUAGCUACCAUGUACGACUGUCAAGUGGCCUGAUGCCUCCCAGCAGAAAAUAUCUUUCUUAAUUAGCAUUAUUAAGUGAGUGCCUAAAGGUUUUUAAUUGAAACACAUCUUUUGCUAAUAGUGAAUAUUAACAUUAUUCAGAAGGUUCAAUAAGAUUUGUAACUGUACACCUUUUAGGUUAGCCUGAGAAGCUAUUAGUUCAUCAUAGACUUUUAAAUGUGCUUCUUAGUAAUCAGUUAUUGGAAAUCUUACAGUUCUGCCUUCCAAAUGAAUGAAUGCUCUAUGCAACAGGAUUGGCAGGCAGUUAUCUUAAUUGACCAUCCUUCAAAUUCAGUUAAACUUGAAAGGGUUCUUGGAUCCUAGUUACAAUUUCCACACUUCUGAACUUCCACCCUCUCCCUUCUCUACCAGCUUCUCUGCUUUCUAACACCAUAGUAAAAAAGACAAAAGAAAAAGGUCAUUUAAUAUUUAUGUAAUCAUACAGAGUUGGAAAAUGUUUCAAAUUACAUUCAAUUAUCCACCCAUUCAUCAGGUGGGAGUGCCUCCCCUCCCCUCCCUAUUGGACAGAAAAUUAAGUUGCAGGAAUUGAUCUUGUUCUCAGAGACCUGCUGUUAUUAUCUUACUGAAUGGUUCUUGAAUUGUUCUUCUGAUACUGCUUUUCUGUUGUCUCUGGGCAGAGUUUCACGUUUUGUGUUUAAGAAAUUUUUUUGGUGGUUUUUGCACUAUUGUAGGGUAUUGAGGGGUAAAAGAGGGUGUGAUUGAAGUUUUGUUUUGUGAUUUCCAAAUUAGUGAUGCCUGCUCCCUGCGGCAAAAUGCAGGAGUCUGGGAGAUAGCAGCAGCAAGCCACUAUGGCCCCUAACCCUGGUUUCAAGUUAUAUAUUUUUCAUCUCCAUUGUAGGGCUGAGCAUUUUCAGUUUCAAGAUAAUGCUUCUGGAAAGCAUCUGUUAAUUCUUAAUCAAGGGCAGGGCCUUAGAGCUCAGAACUUGGGAGUGACUUCAUAAAGAAAUGCUGAGUUUGGCUGUGUAAUUAUGGCUUGGCUUGGUUUUGCUUUGCUUUGGAUUCAGCGCUGAUAUAGAUGCAUGAUGCCUGCAUUGUGCAAAUUCCUCCACAGGAUGGCUUCCAUGGGCAUGUCGUGAUUCAUGUAAAACACCACAGGCUUCUUCUUGUGUUCAUAAUAAUGAUCAGAAAAAUUGAAGUAAUUGCUCGUCAUAAACCCGUAAGCGCUGACCUGCACAGGAAAAGUUAAAUUCAUAGCAUUUAUUCCCACUAAAUGUAUUCAUUCUGUGAAAGAAAGGAAGAUGAGUCCCUGGCUUAUAAAGAAUUUAUUUAAAAAAAAGAACUAAUCUCAAGGAUCUUAAUUUCUGAAGGAAGACAACACAUACAUAGGAGUAGAUGCUGGAUGUAUAUGAUAAUUUUAAAAGUUUUGUACCCAAACUGGCUUGGAUGUGAAGGCAGGGUGUAUAUAGGCAGUUGGAGUAAGGCUUCAUGAAGGUGCUUCAAGUGGGCAAAAAGAGAACAGGAUGUCCAAGGGGCAAGGAUGAGGAAGUUUCAUUCCAGGUCUGAAGGGUAGGCAGUGCAAUGGUCUGAAUUAGGGAGAUGCAAGAUCCUUGCCUAAUUAUGAGUAGUUAGACAUUAUAUUUGGUCAUAGAUAGGGAACUGCUGGAGUUGGGGGGGGGUGGCAGCAAUGCAGAAAAUUGUUUGGAAAUGGGGUUAGAUGUGACAGAGGCCAAAUAAAAUGCUUGUUUUAGAGCAAAGAAAAGGGAUAAGGGCUGUGUGUGGCUGUGUGGAGGUAAAAACAUGACAGUGACUGAGUAGAUAUCUGGGUGAAUUAGAAUCAUAGGCGAUUGAGUGGUAAGUAAUUUAGAAUGCUGGGUCUGGAGUCAGGAAAAUGAGUCUUCCUGAAUUCAAAUCUAGCUUUAGACAUUGACAAAGUCAUUUAACCCAGUUUGCCUCAUUUUCAGCAUCUGUUUAAGAUGAGUUGGAAAAGGAAAUGGCAAACCACUGGGAUUUUUGCCAAGAAAACUCCAAUUGGAGUCAUGAAGACUUGGACAACUAAGACUACUAAAAAAGCAGCAAAGGAUGACAGGAUGGGAACCUGAAUCGAAGUAUAGUGAUGCCCAAAACAUUAAUAGGAAAAGGAUUAGAAUUCUGUUUUGGGUGUAAUUGAGUUUAAAAUGUCCAAUAGGCAAUUCAAGGGAGAGGGGCUAGGACUACAUCAAGGUAAUUGAAGCUAUGUGAGCUGAUUUGUUUGGGAGUGUUAAGAGAAGCUCUAUACCAGAGCUUUUGGGGAUACACCUAGAAUUGACUUAGCAAAGAUAACCAAAAAGAGUGGCCAGACAGAACCAGGAGAGUCUCUAUGAAGGUUAAUGGUGUCAGUUGUGGUAGAGAAGUCAAGGAAGGUAGUAAGGAUGAAGUCAUUAGAUUUGGUAGUCAUGAACUAUUUGUAGUUUUGGAAAGAAGUUUUAGGAGGUUCCAAGCCAGAUUUGUAGGGGUUGAGAAAGUGAAAAUUAAAUUUGGUCAUGAUUGUAGACAGCAGGAAAGGAUCCAGUAGAUAAGGAAAGAUUAAAUGUCAAGAAGAGGGGGAAUUAUGGUGGGGAUGACUAUAAAAUUCAUCAGAGAGGUUGUGACUUAUUGUAACUCAUAUCACCCUCUAAGUAUUGUGUAAUAAGUGAUAUGCUAAUAUACAAAUAAACAGAUGACACCUGAUAUGUUGAGAAUGAGAUACAAGUUGGGGUGGACCUAUUCUCAGGUGUCUGCUAAAACUAUAGCUGUAGCAUGAGGCUUUGGGCCCCAUAGCAUUAGUAUUGACAAGGCCCCCUUUAAAAAAAAGUGAUUAGAAGAUAGUUAUUGCUUCACAGCAAUGUCCUGAGAUGGUGGGAAUAAAAUUAGGUUCACUGAUGGUCGCAGACUAAGCAUAGCUUGGCUUCAUUAGUAGGAGAUGGUAUUUCUUACCUGGUCACAGGUAUGCAAAGCUGUCAGCAACAUAAGAGCCCCAGUGGUAGGUAUAUAGAGGUGCCCCCUCUUUGUAUGGAUGAGUUUGGAUUUCAGAAAACUGAAGGCAAAAAAAUUUCACAUACAAAAUUCAGUCCAUUCAGUCAUAGGCCUCUGACAGUUAAACUCUGGCUAUGUAUAAUAUUUUUUGUGACAAUUAGCACAAGAUAGGAAAUUUUUCCUCAAUGUCUUCUGGAAUGCAGACUUUUAUUAGUCAUAUCCUUAUGGGAAUCCAAAUAUAAAUAUUGUGAAGUGAAAUAAAAACUAACAGUUGGGAGGAUGGGAUAAUAGUAGGAACACUGGCAGCCCAACUCAUGCUUGUACCCCCUCAAUGUUAAUGGACAUAAUUAGAAGCCGCUGCUGUAUAAACCAGCCCAAUUCAAUCACUUCCUCUUCCUUCCCCUCCCUUUGCCAUUACUCCACAACUAAGGGAAUCCCAUAAGAAACCCAUUAUUAACAGGUUUGAGCCCAACCCUAAAAUUAUCUUUUGCUGCCAGACCAGGAGAGAUCAGAUGGCACAUGGUCCAGCAGAAAAAGUAUUAGCUCCAGACUUAGAAUAUCUAGAUUCAGAUCUCUUCUGAGCUCUCAAUGUUGUCAUCUGCAAAAUGAGAGGAUUGGACUAAAAUGACUUCUGAGAUCCCUUCCUGCUUCAGCUCUGAUCAUCUGUGAAAGGAACAGGUGACUCAAACCUUGCAGAUGGUGAGGCUAAGGACAGGAGAGGAAUCGGAUACAGGAAGUAUAGAGAGGGAUGGGGCAAGGGGUUGCUAGUGUUCAGGUGAAGUAAUGACUAUCCAGUGGUGAAGGAAAGUAUUGAGAGAGAUGGAGGCAAAGGUCAGGGAGUGGAUUUGAGCAUUGAAAAGAGCCAAGGCCCUGGCCACCCUCCAUACCUCUCUUUCAGGUAGUUGAUGAAAUCUGGAUGUAACAGCUUGAAUUUACUUGCAGCGGCUUCUGGUCCAAAAUAGGCCUGUGGUCUAGGAGUUCAGUCACGAAAGAAAUGUACAGCACGAUUAAAAUCAAAAUGAGGUGGAGACGAUGAUGUUAGAGGGGCAAGGCUAGUUUGACGACGACGAAGAUGACUUCGGGGAUGAGGAUGGGUUCGUGAGAAAGGGGUAUAGAAAGUCGCAGGUAUUAUGGUAGGAGCUUGAUAGGGUUUUGUUAGAGUGAAGCAGUCCAAAGGAGGUUGGUGAGUUACAGAACAAGGAGGUGUGAACAGACCAUGAGAGGGCGGGUAACUGAGAUUUAGAGGAGGGAGACGAGGAGGGGCCGGAAAGAUCGGAUAAUAUAGAGAUUCUGGAGUUUUGGUUUUAGAAGGAGUGCAAGGAAAGUUACAGGGAAAACAAGGAUUGUAAGGGAUAGGAAUGGUAGGGGGCUGGAAAUAGGGGUUGGGGUUCAGGAGCUGUGAGACGUAGGGAGCGAUAUGAGAAGGGACAAGAGGAGAGCGAGUCCGAGUAGGCCAUACUACAGAGGGAGCAGCAGCAGCAGCAGCGAGACUGGCUUGAGAGGAUUGAGAAGGAGAUUUGGAGGGAGGUGGAGUGGGAGUCUGAGAGAGACCCCUGGAGGAUGGGCGAGUUUGGAAGGGAGAUUGGCUCAGAGGUGGGGUGAGAGUUUGGGAAGGAGCCCGUGAAGUAGGUUGGGAGGGAGAAAGGGGUACUACACCAGGAGUUUGGGAUGGAACUCGAGAAGAGGGUGUAGAAGGAGAAAUGGGGGGAGUUUGGUUUGGAGUUCGGGUAUGGCUAGAUCCUCUAGGUGUUGCAUGAGGCUGGUUUGGAGAAAAGUGACCCGAACGGGAUUGGGAGGGGGAUUGGGUAGGGGAAGGAUUGGGGGAUUGGGAGGGGGAGUUCAUUGGUGUUGGGGAGGCUUCUAUCUAUCUUAUUAAACCUUGCCUUUGAGUGAACCUUUCUUAGGAGCCCAAACCCCUCCCGGGUCACAAAAGUCAUUGUUAUCACUAUCACCAUCAUCAAGUAAUUAUUGAGUGCUUGCAGAGUCUAGGGCACUGGCCCAAGCUUGUGAGGGGUUGAGAGGAAGGCCAACUCCCAAAUCUCCCUCCUUUUUUGUAGGAGGCUGUGUUCUUCAAGGUUGGGAGUAUAAUUGGUAACUGAUAUCAUCCUGUGGGAGAAAACAGAGAGAUAAAGGAUCCAUACUCCUGUCUCUGUGCAAUGUGGUCUAAUGGAUAGAAUGCUGGACCAGGCUAGAGUCAGUAAGCCCUGAAUAUUGAUCAUCCUGCCUCAAGACAUUAAACAAGUCAUUUAACCUC